rnacentral:rRNA from 1 species
CCUACGGGUGGCAGCAGUAGGGAAUAUUGCUCAAUGGGGGAAACCCUGAAGCAGCAACGCCGCGUGGAGGAUGAAGGUUUUCGGAUUGUAAACUCCUUUUGUUAGAGAAGAUAAUGACGGUAUCUAACGAAUAAGCACCGGCUAACUCCGUGCCAGCAGCCGCGGUAAUAUGGAGGGUGCAAGCGUUACUCGGAAGCACUGGGCGUAAAGAGCGCGUAGGCGGGAUAGCAAGUCAGAUGUGAAAUCCUAUGGCUUAACCAUAGAAGUGCAUUUGAAACUGGUAUUCUAGAGUGUGUGAGAGGUAUGUGGAAUGCUUGGUGUAGGGGUAAAAUCCGUAGAGAUCAAGAGGAAUACUCAUUGCGAAGGCGACCUGCUAGAACAUAACUGACGCUGAUGCGCGAAAGCGUGGGGAGCGAACAGGAUUAGAUACCCUGGUAGUC